rnacentral:rRNA from 1 species
GUUGGGUAGGGGAGCGUUCUGUAAGCCGUCGAAGGUGUGCUGUGAGGCAUGCUGGAGGUAUCAGAAGUGCGAAUGCUGACAUAAGUAACGAUAAAGCGGGUGAAAAGCCCGCUCGCCGGAAGACCAAGGGUUCCUGUCCAACGUUAAUCGGGGCAGGGUGAGUCGACCCCUAAGGCGAGGCCGAAAGGCGUAGUCGAUGGGAAACGGGUUAAUAUUCCCGUACUGGGUGUUACUGCGAAGGGGGGACGGAGAAGGCUAUGUUAGCCGGGCGACGGUUGUCCCGGUUUAAGCGUGCAGGCUUGAGUUCCAGGCAAAUCCGGAACUCUUUAAGGCUGAGGCGUGAUGACGAGGCACCACGGUGCUGAAGUAACAAAUGCCCUGCUUCCAGGAAAAGCCUCUAAGCAUCAGGUAACAUCCAAUCGUACCCCAAACCGACACAGGUGGUCAGGUAGAGAAUACCAAGGCGCUUGAGAGAACUCGGGUGAAGGAACUAGGCAAAAUGGUGCCGUAACUUCGGGAGAAGGCACGCUGGCGCGUAGGUGAAGCGACUUGCUCGUGGAGCUGAAGCCAGUCGAAGAUACCAGCUGGCUGCAACUGUUUAUUAAAAACACAGCACUGUGCAAACACGAAAGUGGACGUAUACGGUGUGACGCCUGCCCGGUGCCGGAAGGUUAAUUGAUGGGGUUAUCCGUAAGGAGAAGCUCUUGAUCGAAGCCCCGGUAAACGGCGGCCGUAACUAUAACGGUCCUAAGGUAGCGAAAUUCCUUGUCGGGUAAGUUCCGACCUGCACGAAUGGCGUAAUGAUGGCCAGGCUGUCUCCACCCGAGACUCAGUGAAAUUGAACUCGCUGUGAAGAUGCAGUGUACCCGCGGCAAGACGGAAAGACCCCGUGAACCUUUACUACAGCUUGACACUGAACAUUGAGCCUUGAUGUGUAGGAUAGGUGGGAGGCUUUGAAGCGUGGACGCCAGUCUGCGUGGAGCCAACCUUGAAAUACCACCCUUUAACGUUUGAUGUUCUAACCUGGCGCCGUAAUCCGGCGUGGGGACAGUGUCUGGUGGGUAGUUUGACUGGGGCGGUCUCCUCCCAAAGAGUAACGGAGGAGCACGAAGGUCAGCUAAUCACGGUCGGACAUCGUGAGGUUAGUGCAAUGGCAUAAGCUGGCUUGACUGCGAGAGUGACGGCUCGAGCAGGUGCGAAAGCAGGUCAUAGUGAUCCGGUGGUUCUGAAUGGAAGGGCCAUCGCUCAACGGAUAAAAGGUACUCCGGGGAUAACAGGCUGAUACCGCCCAAGAGUUCAUAUCGACGGCGGUGUUUGGCACCUCGAUGUCGGCUCAUCACAUCCUGGGGCUGAAGUAGGUCCCAAGGGUACGGCUGUUCGCCGUUUAAAGUGGUACGCGAGCUGGGUUUAGAACGUCGUGAGACAGUUCGGUCCCUAUCUGCCGUGGGCGCUGGAAGAUUGAGAGGGGUUGCUCCUAGUACGAGAGGACCGGAGUGAACGCACCGCUGGUGUUCGGGUUGUCAUGCCAAUGGCAUUGCCCGGUAGCUAAGUGCGGAAAAGAUAAGCGCUGAAAGCAUCUAAGCGCGAAACUUGCCUCGAGAUGAAUCUUCCCUGACUCCUUGAGAGUCCUGAAGGGACGUUGAAGACGACGACGUUGAUAGGCCGGGUGUGUAAGCGCAGCGAUGCGUUGAGCUAACCGGUACUAAUGACCCGUGAGGCUUAACCUUACAACGCCAGAAGCGUUCUG